GAGAGCUUGCUCUCUGAUUCAGCGGCGGACGGGUGAGUAAUGCCUAGGAAUCUGCCUGGUAGUGGGGGACAACGUCUCGAAAGGGACGCUAAUACCGCAUACGUCCUACGGGAGAAAGCAGGGGACCUUCGGGCCUUGCGCUAUCAGAUGAGCCUAGGUCGGAUUAGCUAGUUGGUGAGGUAAUGGCUCACCAAGGCGACGAUCCGUAACUGGUCUGAGAGGAUGAUCAGUCACACUGGAACUGAGACACGGUCCAGACUCCUACGGGAGGCAGCAGUGGGGAAUAUUGGACAAUGGGCGAAAGCCUGAUCCAGCCAUGCCGCGUGUGUGAAGAAGGUCUUCGGAUUGUAAAGCACUUUAAGUUGGGAGGAAGGGCAGUAAAUUAAUACUUUGCUGUUUUGACGUUACCGACAGAAUAAGCACCGGCUAACUCUGUGCCAGCAGCCGCGGUAAUACAGAGGGUGCAAGCGUUAAUCGGAAUUACUGGGCGUAAAGCGCGCGUAGGUGGUUUGUUAAGUUGGAUGUGAAAUCCCCGGGCUCAACCUGGGAACUGCAUUCAAAACUGACAAGCUAGAGUAUGGUAGAGGGUGGUGGAAUUUCCUGUGUAGCGGUGAAAUGCGUAGAUAUAGGAAGGAACACCAGUGGCGAAGGCGACCACCUGGACUGAUACUGA
rnacentral:rRNA from 1 species